rnacentral:rRNA from 1 species
ACAGGUGUAGAGAUACACUCUCCCUUCGGGCAAUGGAUACAGGUGGUGCAUGGUUGCCGUCAGCUCGUGCCGUGAGGUGUUGGGUUAAGUCCCGCAACGAGCGCAACCCUCAUUGUUAGUUACUACCAUUCAGUUGAGGACUCUAAUGAGACUGCCAACGACAAGUUGGAGGAAGGUGGGGAUGACGUCAAAUCAUCAUGCCCUUUAUGACCUGGGCUACAAACGUACUACAAUGGCCAAUACAAAGAGAUGCGAAGCGGUGACGUGGAGCGAACCUCAGAAAGUUGGUCUCAGUUCAGAUUAAAGUCUGCAACUCGACUUCAUGAAGGCGGAAUCGCUAGUAAUCGCGGGUCAGCAGACCGCGGUGAAUACGUUCCCGGGUUUU